rnacentral:rRNA from 1 species
CCUACGGGAGGCAGCAGUGAGGAAUAUUGGUCAAUGGACGAGAGUCUGAACCAGCCAAGUAGCGUGAAGGAUGACUGCCCUAUGGGUUGUAAACUUCUUUUAUAUGGGAAUAAAAUGUUCCACGUGUGGGAUUUUGUAUGUACCAUAUGAAUAAGGAUCGGCUAACUCCGUGCCAGCAGCCGCGGUAAUACGGAGGAUCCGAGCGUUAUCCGGAUUUAUUGGGUUUAAAGGGAGCGUAGGUGGAUUGUUAAGUCAGUUGUGAAAGUUUGCGGCUCAACCGUAAAAUUGCAGUUGAAACUGGCAGUCUUGAGUACAGUAGAGGUGGGCGGAAUCCGUGGUGCAGCGGUGAAAUGCUUAGAUAUCACGAAGAACUCCGAUUGCGAAGGCAGUUCACUGGACUGCAACUGACACUGAGGCUCGAAAGUGUGGGUAUCAAACAGGAUUAGAUACCCCUGUAGUC